GACGUAGGGCGCGAGCGUUGUCCGGAUUUAUUGGGCGUAAAGAGCUCGUAGGCGGCUUGUCGCGUCGUCCGUGAAAACUCGGGGCUUAACCCCGAGCCUGCUUCUGAUACGGGCAGACUAGAGGUAUGCAGGGGAGAACGGAAUUCCUGGUGUAGCGGUGAAAUGCGCAGAUAUCAGGAGGAACACCGGUGGCGAAGGCGGUUCUCUGGGCAUUACCUGACGCUGAGGAGCGAAAGUGUGGGGAGCGAACAGG
rnacentral:rRNA from 1 species